rnacentral:rRNA from 1 species
ACGCUAGCGGCAGGCCUAACACAUGCAAGUCGAGGGGUAACAGGAAAGCUUGCUUUCGCUGACGACCGGCGCACGGGUGCGUAACGCGUAUGCAACCUACCUCAUACUGGAGAAUAGCCCCUGGAAACGGGGAUUAAUACUCCAUAGUAUCAUUUUUUCGCAUGUUUGAAUGAUUAAAGAAUUUCGGUAUGAGAUGGGCAUGCGUCCCAUUAGCUAGUUGGUGAGGUAACGGCUCACCAAGGCUACGAUGGGUAGGGGGCCUGAGAGGGUGGUCCCCCACACUGGUACUGAGACACGGACCAGACUCCUACGGGAGGCAGCAGUGAGGAAUAUUGGUCAAUGGAGGCAACUCUGAACCAGCCAUGCCGCGUGAAGGAUGACGGCCCUAUGGGUUGUAAACUUCUUUUGAAUAGGAAGAAACUUAUCUACGUGUAGAUAACUGACGGUACUAUUAGAAUAAGGAUCGGC